rnacentral:tRNA from 1 species
AAUGAAGUGUCUGAAAAAAAGAAUUAUUUUGAUAGAAUAAAAAAUGUAAUUUAUAAUUACCUUCAUUU